rnacentral:rRNA from 1 species
AUUGAACGCUGGCGGCAGGCCUAACACAUGCAAGUCGAACGGUAACAGGAAGCAGCUUGCUGCUUUGCUGACGAGUGGCGGACGGGUGAGUAAUGUCUGGGAAACUGCCUGAUGGAGGGGGAUAACUACUGGAAACGGUAGCUAAUACCGCAUAACGUCGCAAGACCAAAGAGGGGGACCUUAGGGCCUCUUGCCAUCGGAUGUGCCCAGAUGGGAUUAGCUAGUAGGUGGGGUAACGGCUCACCUAGGCGACGAUCCCUAGCUGGUCUGAGAGGAUGACCAGCCACACUGGAACUGAGACACGAUCCAGACUCCUACGGGAGGCAGCAGUGGGGAAUAUUGCACAAUGGGCGCAAGCCUGAUGCAGCCAUGCCGCGUGUAUGAAGAAGGCCUUCGGGUUGUAAAGUACUUUCAGCGGGGAGGAAGGGAGUAAAGUUAAUACCUUUGCUCAUUGACGUUACCCGCAGAAGAAGCACCGGCUAACUCCGUG